CGGGACGGGUGAGUAACGCGUGGAUAACCUGCCUCGCACUGGGGGAUAACAGUUAGAAAUGGCUGCUAAUACCGCAUAAGCGCACAGUACCGCAUGGUACGGUGUGAAAAACCCAGGUGGUGUGAGAUGGAUCCGCGUCUGAUUAGCCAGUUGGCGGGGUAACGGCCCACCAAAGCGACGAUCAGUAGCCGACCUGAGAGGGUGACCGGCCACAUUGGGACUGAGACACGGCCCAA
rnacentral:rRNA from 1 species